rnacentral:rRNA from 1 species
UGCCAGACUCCUACGGGAGGCAGCAGUGGGGAAUAUUGCACAAUGGGGGAAACCCUGAUGCAGCGACGCCGCGUGAGCGAUGAAGUAUUUCGGUAUGUAAAGCUCUAUCAGCAGGGAAGAAGAUGACGGUACCUGACUAAGAAGCCCCGGCUAACUACGUGCCAGCAGCCGCGGUAAUACGUAGGGGGCAAGCGUUAUCCGGAUUUACUGGGUGUAAAGGGAGCGUAGACGGCGAUGCAAGCCAGAUGUGAAAGCCCGGGGCUCAACCCCGGGACUGCAUUUGGAACUGUGUGGCUGGAGUGUCGGAGAGGCAGGCGGAAUUCCUAGUGUAGCGGUGAAAUGCGUAGAUAUUAGGAGGAACACCAGUGGCGAAGGCGGCCUGCUGGACGAUGACUGACGUUGAGGCUCGAAAGCGUGGGGAGCAAACAGGAUUAGAUACCCGCGUAU